CUCUGACCUGUGUGCAGUGUGAUCACACAAAUGCUGAUGGAGUUUGCCAGAGUCGGGAAAGCUCCUGCCAGACUUCUGGCUUCCAGCAGUGCUUCCUGCGGAAGAUCUAUAAAGAUGGCAAAUUCCAGUAUGCGAGGCAGGGCUGUAGUAGCCUGUGCUUUCCCUCGAUGCUCUUCAACCAGAUAUCCAGAGUGCAGUUUAUGUGCUGUAACAAGGAGUCUUUCUGUAACAGACUCUGAGCGGCCCGGCCCUCUCUGCCCCCUCCUGUGUCCACCAAGCUUGGCUGCCCACUGCAGGCUUUCUCUGUCUUCCCGCAGCCCCAGCUUAGAGCUCCUUCCCCAGCACAGCCUGAGCCCUGACACUGCCUGCCCUCAGCAUCAGGCCUUGCCCUGUCCACGGCUCCUCCCAGCUGGGCAGAUGUGCUCUUUAUCCCUUUCCUCAUCCUCGAUCUUUCACUGGCACACAGUAAACUCUCUUCUCCCUCUUCAGUUCUUUCUUCUUCUUUUCACAAAUAUUUUACAAAUAAUUUCUGAUUCCUCAUCACUGGAAUGUGGUUCUGAGUGUGCAGCAGUGUACACCAGGUUUGCCUCCUGCCCUCAAUGGACCUUCAGUCCUGCAGAGGACAAGGGCUUCAGACUGCAGCUUCCAUCCUAUUCCUGUGUUGGAACCUCAGGCUUGGGCCGUGCUCAGCACAUCUUCUGCCUCUGCACCACCCCAGGACUGCAUGGACAGUUACAAGGGCACAGACAGUGCGAAUCCUUCAUGUUGUGGAAAUAGUUCAGUGUGGAGCCUUUGCACUAAUAAAUACCAUGUGUCAGUC